rnacentral:rRNA from 1 species
AACGCUAGCGGCAGGCUUAAUACAUGCAAGUCGAACGGUAACAUGGUAGCAAUACUGAUGACGAGUGGCGCACGGGUGAGUAACGCGUAUGCAACCUACCUAUAAUUUGAGGAUAGCCCGAAGAAAUUCGGAUUAAUACUUAAUGUGAAUAUUUAGAGGCAUCUUUAGAUAUUUAAAGGAUUUAUUUGAUUAUAGAUGGGCAUGCGUGACAUUAGAUAGUUGGUGAGGUAACGGCUCACCAAGUCUACGAUGUCUAGGGGUUCUGAGAGGAAUGUCCCCCACACUGGUACUGAGAUACGGACCAGACUCCUACGGGAGGCAGCAGUAAGGAAUAUUGGUCAAUGGGCGCAAGCCUGAACCAGCCAUGCCGCGUGCAGGAUGACUGCCCUACGGGUUGUAAACUGCUUUUAUAGUAGAAGAAACACAUCUACGUGUAGAUGUCUGCCAGUAUACUAUGAAUAAGCAUCGGCUAACUCCGUG